GGUUGUUUGGCCGAGCGGUCUAAGGCGUCCGAUUCAAGUUAGCAAAGUUAACUUUUCAACUGUUUAUUAAGCGGUAGAACACUCGGAUAUCGUAAGAUGCAAGAGUUCGAAUCUCUUAGCAACCA
rnacentral:tRNA from 1 species